GACUCGUUAGCUCAGUGGUUAGAGCGCCGAUAAUCCGAUUGCAAAUCGGAGGUCGAAGGUUCGAAUCCUUUCACGAGUCC